UUGGUCAGCAUGCUAUGCACCGCGCAUCACACUUUAAAUAGUGUUUGAAGUAAACAGUGUUUGAAGUAUAUGGCCACUGUAAUACUGGGAAAUAAGUUCACAUUUUCGCUCCCAUGAAGCUCCCAGCCAAUCAAGAACACAGAGUACCUGAUACAGGGAGGAACAACCACGGAGGGAGACGGACGCAACGUGAGGUUUGCACUGCGGCGAGUUUCUGGGGAAGUGCGGGAAGCACGCAGCCCGCUGCGAUCGCACGGCUGACUCCGCAAGUGUGAAAAGUGGAAUUCAACCUCCCAGCACCAGCGAGCUAGCCGUGAGGACAUGCGAGGGACACCAGGCCCCCGACUGACCUUUGAACUCACUCACCUUUGAACUCCACCACCGGGAAGAAGCAGCCAGCUGUAGAAGCAGAGAGGUGCAGUACGGUCUUCUCCAAAAGGUCGGCCAGCACUGUAGGGAGGGCAGACGUCUUUGUGUUUACACAAAUCCAAGGGUUUUAACAACAGUAAGCUGUUGUUACUGAGGCACGCG